rnacentral:rRNA from 1 species
GCUAAGCCCUAAACAAUGAUAAGCCAAUUACUAUGCUUUCCGCCAGAGAAUUACAAGCGAAAAGCUUAAAACUCAAAGGACUUGGCGGUAUCCCAAACCGACCUAGAGGAGCCUGUCCUAUAAUCGAUACCCCCCGCUCCACCAAACCUCUACUAGUACUUUCAGCCUAUAUACCGCCGUCGAUCAGCCUACCCUGUGAAGGUUUAAUAGUAGACUCAACAGCCCAAUCGCUAAUACGUCAGGUCAAGGUGUAGCUAAUGUAGAGGAAGAGAUUGGCUACAUUUUCUAUACUAGAAAAUACGGAAUAUGUUAUGAAACCCCAUACAAAGGUGGAUUUAGCAGUAAAAUAAGCAAGAGAGCUUAUUUAACAACGCUCUGGGAUGCGCACACACCGCCCGUCACCCUCUUCACUAGCCCCCUAAAAAAUUUUAUAAAACUACUCUGCUAACUAGAAGAGGU